rnacentral:rRNA from 1 species
UACGUAGGGCGCAAGCGUUGUCCGGAAUUAUUGGGCGUAAAGAGCUCGUAGGCGGUUUGUCGCGUCGGAUGUGAAAGCCCGGGGCUUAACCCCGGGUCUGCAUUCGAUACGGGCAGACUGGAGUGUGGUAGGGGAGAUCGGAAUUCCUGGUGUAGCGGUGAAAAUGCGCAGAUAUCAGGAGGAACACCGAUGGCGAAGGCAGGUCUCUGGGCAUUAACUGACGCUGAGGAGCGAAAGCAUGGGGAGCGAACAGG